UGGUGACUAUAGCAAGGAGGUCACACCUGUUCCCAUGCCGAACACAGAAGUUAAGCUCCUUAGCGUCGAUGGUAGUCGAACUUACGGUUCGAACCC
rnacentral:rRNA from 1 species